rnacentral:rRNA from 1 species
CGUGAUGACGAGGCACUACGGUGCUGAAGCAA